GCUGGUUUGACAUGCAAAACAGGCGAAAAAGUAUCCCGUAAUGGAAAUGGAUGUGAACCCUGCAAACCAGGCUCUUAUCAGGAUCAUGAAAAUACUUCAAAAUCUUGUAAAGCAUGUAGAACGUGUGACACUAGUCAUGGUAGUGAGAUUAAACAGCAUUGUACCAGAUUCACAAACACAAGAUGUGCGUGCCGUGAAGACUUUGUUCUAUGGGACAGUGAUUCUUCCAACUGCAAAUGUGCUGAGGGAUUUAAACGAAUAGGAGGAGAAUGUAAACGAUGUGAGGAAGGAUUUUUCAUUAUAUCUCAAAACUCA